GACGAACGCUGGCGGCGUGCUUAACACAUGCAAGUCGAACGGGAUUUAGUAGACAGAAGCCUCGGCUAAAGAUUACUAAUGAGAGUGGCGAACGGGUGAGUAACGCGUGAGCAACCUGCCUAUGACAGUGGGAUAGCCUCGGGAAACCGGGAUUAAUACCGCAUAAAAUCGUAGAAACACAUGUUUUAACGGUCAAAGAUUUAUCGGUCAUAGAUGGGCUCGCGUCUGAUUAGCUAGUUGGUGAGAUAACAGCCCACCAAGGCGACGAUCAGUAGCCGGUCUGAUCGGAUGCACGGCCCCAUUGGAAAUGAGACACGGUCCAAACCCCCACGGGAGGAAGCAGGGGGGAAGAUGGCACAAUGGGGGCAACCCUGAUUCAGCGACGCCGCGUGAACGAAAAAGCAAUUCGAAACAUAAAGUUCUGUCCUAUGGGAAGACAAUGACAGUACCAUAGAAGAAAGCUCCGCCUAAAUACG
rnacentral:rRNA from 1 species